rnacentral:rRNA from 1 species
CAUGCAAGUCGAACGAUUGCAGCAAUGCAAUAGUGGCAAACGGGUGAGUAACACGUGAAUAAUCUGCCUUUGAGAGAGGGAUAAUUCCAUGAAAAUGGGACUAAUACCUCAUAUUGUUCAGCUAGGUAAGCCUAACUGAAUGAAAGCUUUUGCGCUCAGAGAUGAGUUCGCGUUCUAUUAGCUAGUUGGUAGGGUAAGAGCUUACCAAGGCAACGAUGGAUAGCCGGCCUGAGAGGGUGAUCGGCCACACUGGAACUGAGAUACGGUCCAGACUCCUACGGGAGGCAGCAGUUAAGAAUAUUGCGCAAUGAGGGAAACCUUGACGCAGCGACACCGCGUGCAGGAGGAAGGCUUUCGGGUUGUAAACUGCAAUAAAUAGGGAAGAAUCAAUGACGGUACCUAUUGAAAGCACCGGCUAAAUACGUGCCAGCAGCCGCGGUAAUACGUAUGGUGCAAGCGUUGUUCGGAAUUACUGGGCGUAAAGCGCGUGUAGGUGGAUAAUUAAGUUGGGCGUGAAAUCCCUAGGCUCAACCUAGGAACUGCGUUCAAAACUGAUUAUCUAGAGUUUCGGAGAGGCAAGCGGAAUUCUCGGUGUAGCGG